rnacentral:rRNA from 1 species
GCAGUCGAACGAUGAACCACUUCGGUGGGGAUUAGUGGCGAACGGGUGAGUAACACGUGGGCAAUCUGCCCUGCACUCUGGGACAAGCCCUGGAAACGGGGUCUAAUACCGGAUACUGACCCUCGCAGGCAUCUGCGAGGUUCGAAAGCUCCGGCGGUGCAGGAUGAGCCCGCGGCCUAUCAGCUUGUUGGUGAGGUAAUGGCUCACCAAGGCGACGACGGGUAGCCGGCCUGAGAGGGCGACCGGCCACACUGGGACUGAGACACGGCCCAGACUCCUACGGGAGGCAGCAGUGGGGAAUAUUGCACAAUGGGCGAAAGCCUGAUGCAGCGACGCCGCGUGAGGGAUGACGGCCUUCGGGUUGUAAACCUUCUUUCAGCAGGGAAGAAGCGAAAGUGACGGUACCUGCAGAAGAAGCGCCGGCUAACUACGUGCCAGCAGCCGCGGUAAUACGUAGGGCGCAAGCGUUGUCCGGAAUUAUUGGGCGUAAAGAGCUCGUAGGCGGCUUGUCGCGUCGGUUGUGAAAGCCCGGGGCUUAACCCCGGGUCUGCAGUCGAUACGGGCAGGCUAGAGUUCGGUAGGGGAGAUCGGAAUUCCUGGUGUAGCGGUGAAAUGCGCAGAUAUCAGGAGGAACACCGGUGGCGAAGGCGGAUCUCUGGGCCGAUACUGACGCUGAGGAGCGAAAGCGUGGGGAGCGAACAGGAUUAGAUACCCUGGUAGUCCACGCCGUAAACGGUGGGCACUAGGUGUGGGCAACAUUCCACGUUGUCCGUGCCGCAGCUAACGCAUUAAGUGCCCCGCCUGGGGAGUACGGCCGCAAGGCUAAAACUCAAAGGAAUUGACGGGGGCCCGCACAAGCGGCGGAGCAUGUGGCUUAAUUCGACGCAACGCGAAGAACCUUACCAAGGCUUGACAUACACCGGAAAGCAUCAGAGAUGGUGCCCCCCUUGUGGUCGGUGUACAGGUGGUGCAUGGCUGUCGUCACCUCGUGUCGUGAAAUGUUGGGUUAAGUCCCGCAACGAGCGCAACCCUUGUCCCGUGUUGCCAGCAGGCCCUUGUGGUGCUGGGGACUCACGGGAGACCGCCGGGGUCAACUCGGAGGAAGGUGGGGACGACGUCAAGUCAUCAUGCCCCUUAUGUCUUGGGCUGCACACGUGCUACAAUGGCCGGUACAAUGAGCUGCGAUACCGCAAGGUGGAGCGAAUCUCAAAAAGCCGGUCUCAGUUCGGAUUGGGGUCUGCAACUCGACCCCAUGAAGUCGGAGUCGCUAGUAAUCGCAGAUCAGCAUUGCUGCGGUGAAUACGUUCCCGGGCCUUGUACACACCGCCCGUCACGUCACGAAAGUCGGUAACACCCGAAGCCGGUGGCCC